UGACGGUUCUCGAAGAUUCUGCAUGC
rnacentral:sRNA from 1 species